rnacentral:rRNA from 1 species
UACGUAGGGACCAAGCGUUGUUCGGAUUUACUGGGCGUAAAGGGCGCGUAGGCGGCGCGGUAAGUCACUUGUGAAAUCUCUGAGCUUAACUCAGAACGGCCAAGUGAUACUGCAGUGCUAGAGUGUGGAAGGGGCAAUCGGAAUUCUUGGUGUAGCGGUGAAAUGCGUAGAUAUCAAGAGGAACACCUGAGGUGAAGACGGGUUGCUGGGCCAACACGUGACGCUGAUGCGCGAAAGCCAGGGGAGGCAAACGGG